AUUUCGCCGGAGGUAAGAGCGUAAAGCUUACAGGGUUAUUGUCGACCUCUCUAAUGCGUAAGUACGUAUACGGUAUGUAAACAAAACAAGACUGGGGAGUCGCAGGUGGCAGAUCGAAUAUUAUAACCACUGCCUGCACUGUACGAUUGCACGUUUAUAUUGACCUAAACUUUGAUGGUCCUACGGCCGAACGUCCCAAGGAUAGUAAGGAAGAGAGUGUCGAUCAGCCCAGGGAUGCAAUUCUAGCCAAUCUGGGGACUUUGGAACCGUCUAUGUCGACCCACUUCUCGAACCUGGACGUCCUCGACAUGACACCUGAGAGAUAGACUGACCCACAAAAAUGUGGAAGAAAAUCCGGGAAUCAACCUCGGGGAUUAAUCUAAACUUUAUUUCCGGUCUAAUGCGUAAACGUCGAUACGCGAAAUUCGAAACUGACGAAGAUGCAAGUAAACAUUUGAAUGGUCAUCUUCAUGAUGACAGGGACAGUGUUCAUCUCAAACUUGACCAAAGGGAUGCAGAAAAUAAUAAAGUUUCAUGGACGUCAACAAGCUCGUGUUCUAAACGGCGAACCGACGAAACAACGGAUAUGUCUACGGUAGACGCCGGUUUCCGCAGGGUGGAAUUAAAGUGUUCGGACAACAACGGGAAUAGAAAUUCUAGGAGGCCUUAUAACCCAAGACUAAGUGAACCUUUUCUGGCUGAUUACGGCUCCACAAACAUUCACGAUGAGUCUAUCGAUUCGUUGUAUGGUUACGGAAGUGACGCUUCUGAUGGUGAUGGCGUAACUCAUCACGAGUUUUAUGAGGCGCGAAAAAACGGAGUAAAAACGCCAUCGUCUUUGAAGGAUGAUGUCACAGACUUUGUACAUAGUUUGGUCCAAAAACGCUAUCAGAAACUAGACGAUUCGGAGGAGGAAUCGGAAGAUGUGGUCGAUUUUGACCGACGAGUGUCGGAAAGUAACGGAAGUAGACGACGUUCGACACGUUCAGGAUCACGUGAUUCCGAUAAUCAAGUAUUCCAUAGCAUAAAGGACAUUACCCCAAACUGGGAGGAUAAACCUAAGAAAUCCAAGAAAAGAAGAAAGGUACAUUUACUAAGAUUCUUACGUAGAGCUUCUUGUCUGUCCACGGGUGUCCAGUACGGACGCGCGGACAGGUGAUGCACACUAUAUAAUCAGAGCUUGAUGCACUAAUUGGUAUAUAUAUGAUACAAUGACAUAAAUGCUCAAAAGUUUAAAGAGGCCUGUAUGUAAAAAAAGGUCUGGUUUACAGAAGUUUUCUCUUUCAAUAGUGUUUUUUACUUUAAAUCAUAUUUCGCUUAAAGGCUGUUUAAUUCGAGGUUUUUAUGCCAAAUUUGUUACAUUUUGAGAUCUAAAUGUAUUUGAUUAAUCCAUAGAUAAUGAAUGAUGAAGUAAAUGAGAAUAAGUGAGGCUGGAAUUUUGAAAUACCCCAAAUGUACCUUUUUUUUAAUGGAUAAAGUAGUUGCGUUUAAUAAUUUCUUGGUUUGAGACAAUUGUCCCUAGAUGUGCCAUAUAUAGAUAAGUCUCUGACAACGUUUCACUGAAUUCAAAAGUGGAACUGGUGGAAGAUUUGUGUUCAGGAUAUCAAGUGUUACUUUGUAGUACAGUACAUUUAUAUACAGGAUAUCAAGUGUUACUUUGUAGUACAGUACAUUUAUACAGGACAGCCAACUGACAUGCAACGCCAAAACACUGACAGUCCAAACGCCAACUACGCUAAUAGUCUGUGUUCCCAGGACUAGAAACGUUAAUUACAGUAACAUAACGUCAUUUUGGUACUGUAUUGGUAUAAUGAUACACGUCACGUCAACGCUUUAUAUACACGUGGCAGCCUUAGGUUCAGGUUAUGUUUUCAGGAAGCUAUUUCGGUAAAUACAAAAUCCAAUAAAAACUUUAUUCAUUAUAUAAUUUGAUAAAUAGAAUAUUUAAAUGUGAUCUUCUGCAUGUUUAAAUAUGACCACAGACGUCUAUACAUCUGGUUAGUAUUUAUAUGAACCCAGGCUACUAUGACCUGAUAUGUAGUAGGAGUAGGGGCUAAUUUAUUUUUCUACUAACCAGAUUCGAUGCCGACGCCUAUAAUGUGACUUAUUGCUCACGUUGUCAGCUUUAAUUUAUUGUCAUAUGUAAUAUCAGUAUGUCUGUCACCCAGAUAUUGCAUUUCAUAAGGCUAUGAAUGCAUUCUGACGACAGAUCAAUAGGUUAGUAUACAAUAGCACUGUUAUAUUAGGUACAUGUUUUAUGGUGUGUACCUGACACUAUUUACGUAAGAAACGACAACUCUUUAGUAGAGAUUGAUGUUACACAGUACAUCAUUAUACCAGUUUUUAUCCGUGUGAUUUAUUUCGCCAUUAUAUAUAAACAAACAUGUAUAGUUCACUCGAUGUCAUAUACCACCCCAGACAUUAGGCUACAUAGUGUAUUAGCCAUGUUCUGACUUAACAUACAACACUGAAGUAUUCAGUGAACGGCAUGCAUUUUUACAUUACACCCAGCAACAUCGCAUUGGUAGAAUGCUGAUCACCACUAUGUAUUACGACACUAAGAUUAGAUCUCAGGGACUGUAUACGUUUGCGUAGUUCUAUAAAUGUGCUUUUGAAAAGUGUUCUCAAUCAUGGCAUGGUUGCUAGGGUAUUCAAAUAAUACGAUAUUUUUGCUCUUUUAUACAAUGGUUGUUUAGUGGGGUCAUGCGGUUAAGGCUAUAUUAACUGUAUGUAAAAGAAAACAUUGCCUAUAUUAUGAGUCCAACGGAUACCCCUGCAAAGGCUGCCAAGUAAUAUACACUGUACAAUUGUAUAUAUUAUAUAUCAAAACUACUAAAUGGAGUCAUUGCUGUCAAACAGUUGGCAUAUCGAGACGGAGGAAGACAGUGAAUCAGCACACACGUUUAGUCCCAUCAAAAAUAGCUUCAGAGCAGAUUGGCCAGCAUUUUUUUUAAUUGAAGACGAUAUCUUUGAACGUUCUGAACUAUUGCCAACAUGGCCGCCCAAAGAGUGCAAUGUGUUCUGAUGCAGACAAAUUGUUUACGUGUGCUUUUAUUAGUGUUAUCGACAGGAAAUGAAUUUUAUAUUUUGUCCACCGGAUGUGACGUCAUAGCAGGGCAAAUGAUAUUCCCUGCUGUAAUGAUAAAAAAUUGACAUUGAAUUGUACACAUCGACCACAAUAAGUAUUCUACGUUUUAUGGGCUCAUAUAUCAAUGCUAAAAUUUGAUUCUCUUAUUGCUUUUAGACUGCCAGUAGUCCUAUUACCAUCAACGAGUUCAAUUGCAUAAGUUGAAACUUCAGUAAAUCAGCAUUAAAUCAACAUCACGUAUAGAAUAAAUUAAAAAAAUUACGAUGUUUUUUUUUAACACUCAUCGUCUAAUAGUAGUAAUACUGCAAUACAUUCUUGGGUCCCUACGAUUAUCGAGUCCCUGUGGUUAUCGGGUCCCUGUUAUUAUCGGGUCCCUGUGAUUAUCAGGUCCCUGUGAUUAUCAGGUCCCUGUUAUUAUCGGGUCCCUGUGAUUAUUGGGUCCCUGUGGUUAUCGAGUCCCUGUGAUUAUCGGGUCCCUGUGAUGAUCAGAUCCCUGUGAUUAUCAGGUCCCUGUUAUUAUCGGAUCCCUGUGAUUAUCGGGUCCCUGUUAUUAUCGGGUCCCUGUUAUUAUCGGGUCCCUGUGAUUAUCAGGUCCCUGUGGUUAUCGGGUCCCUGUGAUUAUUGGGUCCCUGUGGUUAUCGGGUCCCUGUGAUUAUCGGGUCCCUGUAAUUAUCGGGUCCCUGUGGUUAUCGGGUCCCUGUGAUUAUCGGGUCCCUGUUAUUAUCGGGUCCCUGUAAUUAUUAGGUCCCUGUGGUUAUCGGGUCCCUGUGAUUAUUGGGUCCCUGUGGUUAUCGGGUCCCUGUGAUUAUCGGGUCCCUGUAAUUAUCGGGUCCCUGUGGUUAUCGGGUCCCUGUGAUUAUCGGGUCCCUGUGAUUAUCGGGUCCCUGUAAUUAUCAGGUCUCUGUUAUUAUAGGGUCCCUGUGAUUAUCAGGUCCCUGUUAUUAUCGGGUCCAUGUGUUUAUCGGGUCCCUGUGAUUAUCAGGUCCCUGUGUUCCUCUUUACACUGAUUCUAUACAUGGCUUGGAAUCCUAUAUUGGAGGUCUGGUUUAUGUAGAAAGGUUCAGUUUACACGCGUGUAAUAUACCAUGUGCAGGGAAAGAUUAACAGUAUUAAUUAUCAAUGUGAAUGUUAGAGGGGAAUAGGUAGACACAGUAGAUGUACAGCCGGGUCUCUCUGGCCGUGUGUGUAAUAAUACCACAGGCGGAAUCAGCCACAUGGCACAGGUCACUGGGUUACUAACCGGAUAGAUUCCUAAAAUAGUUCGCUUCUGAAGGAGAGAAAUCGCAUGUAUGAUAUUUUUGUACUUUCAAAUCCCUCCAAUGUGAAGGAGUUCUGAGCAGCUUUAAUUCGUAUAUAAGUGUGUUGUUUGACAAUUUGCCGAGUUUUUGUGAGUGUGUGUGUAUUACGUAUUGUAUGUUUCUAUAUGCAUCAGUCAGCAUUUUGUGGAAUGGCAACUGUGAUACUUCAUGGAAGUCGAUUUAAAUAUUGACCAUGGUGAUCUAUAAUCACCAAUAUAUGUAAAUAUACCUAAACCAUUCGGGAGUUGAAUCUCAACAGUCACAAAUACGUGUAUCAUUAAUUUGAUGGUCUGAAUUACUGUCUACUUUGAUAUUGGCCUAUCUAUGAUCCACGCUAGUGUCGAGGGUCCCCACCUCACCUCAAUCUUCUCGCUCCAACUCGCCUCUAACUUUGCUAACUGCCAUUUACAUUGUUUAUUUUUCUCUUAUACAUUAUCGUAGCACUGAUCUUACCCAACUGUAUAUCCUAUAUAUGGUCUUUAAAAUAUCUCUUCUGUGUUACAUUUAGCAUUUAACGAAGUAUUUUUUAGUAUUCUCGAUUUCUCGUAUGUAUUUACUGUCAAGAGAAGUCAUAUUAUAUCUUCUACGUCCUUUCCCUGCCAUUAACAUAUUAAAGGACUGACCACAGUUCAUUAUAUUUUCUCUGAGAGUUGCUGGAGUAUAUUUGUGUGUCAGUCCAUAUUGUGGCCGGUUUCUGUGACCUGUAUAGCAGUUUCUGUGACCUGUAUAGCAGUUUCUGUGACCUGUAUAGCAGUUUCUGUGUCCUACCUUCAGCUGUUCAUUGUACCUAGAUUUCUGGAUCUUGGUAGAAAAUUUGUAAGGAAUAUGAAGUUUUUUUUUCACUAUGUAUUAAUAUUUAAGAUUUUGUAAUAUUUUUAUGUUGUUUUAUUACCAUGUAUUGCACUUUUUUU